GCGCGAAAACUUUACAAUGCUGGCAACAGCGAUAAGGGAACCUCGAGUGCCAGGUUACAAAUCUGGCUGUCGAGAUGCCUAAAAAGCAUUUCAUAGCAAGGGCCGGGCAAGACCGGUGCCGGCCGCCGCGGUAACACCGGCGGCUCGAGUGGUAACCGUUAUUAUUGGGUCUAAAGGGUCUGUAGCCGGCCGGAUAAGUCCCUUGAGGAAUCUGGCAGCUUAACUGUCAGGCUUUCAGGAGAUACUGUCUGGCUCGAGGCCGGGAGAGGUGAGAGGUACUUCAGGGGUAGGGGUGAAAUCUUGUAAUCCUUGAAGGACCACCAGUGGCGAAGGCGUCUCACCAGAACGGACCUGACGGCAAGGGACGAAAGCUAGGGGCACGAACC
rnacentral:rRNA from 1 species